UAAUAACAUAUCAAACUCAUUUCCCACUCAAAAUCUAUGACUAUGGAGAACACGUGCGGCUACGGUUUUCAAAACUAAGAAAUUUUAAAGCUUAUUCAUUAUGGUUAAUUUGGAGUUAAUAUUCAACUAUGGUGGGGAUUGGACUUAUGAGGCAAAAGUCAAGUAUGAGAAGAGGUUCUAUAACAUUUGGGAAGGUUAUGACUCUGACCAUCUAUCUUUUAAUGAUGUUGUAGAUGAGUACUGUAAUAACUUAGGGUUUGUUGGGGUUCAACAACUCUUAGUAGCUGCCCCUUCUGGUAAAUUAUAUGAAAUCAUUGCUGAUAGUGGUAUUAGGAGGUUACUGGCAAUGGUUAGUGAUGAUUACUAUGUGAUUAACUUAUUUGCUAUUGAUGAUUGUGAGUUAGCAGUUGAUGUGCCUAAUAUCCUAAAUUAUGAUGAACCUUUUGAACCUAAUGUUGAUGCUUUUGAAUCCAAUGUUGUUAGUGUUGAACCUAGUUUAGGGGUUGCUACUAAUUGUAGAUCAACUGAUGCUGAGGAUGAAAAUGACUCUGUUUUUUCUGAUUAUGAAUCUGAAGACUUAGAAUUUAUUGCUAACCAAAGGAGGGUGAACAUUACUGAUCAGUUGUUAGAUUACAAAGAACUUGACAAUAGUAUGACCUUCAAGGACAUUAAUGAAGCUAGGAAAUGUCUGAAAUUGUAUGCUUUGGCAAAUAAGAAAGAGUUGCAGGUUAGAAAAAGUGAUUCAAAAAAGCUGAGGUAUGAGUAUCAAGUAGGUUGUCCAUUUGUUUGUCUUAUUUCUAAGGAUGGGAACUGCCCUGGGGUUAGAAUCAAGACCCUAAACACAGAACAUAAUUGCUUUAUUGCUUAUGAUAACAAUAGGGUUGACUACUACACCAUUGCACAUUACUUUAAGAAGAAGCUUCAAAAUAAUCCCAAAUAUAAAGUAAAGGACAUGAGGGCUGACUUAAAGGCUACAUUUGAACUUAAUGCAAGUCAUGGCAAGUGCAAAAAGGCAAAAAACUUGAUUCUGAAUAAGCUGGAUGAUAGCUUUAAGGAUGAUUAUAAUAGGUUAGAGGCAUAUGGCAACGAGUUGAGGAUUAGCAACCCUAGAAGUGAUAUUAUUUUCAAUUUGUCAAAAGAUGCACUUAUGGAAGGUAAGAGAAGGUUCUGUAGAAUAUAUAUUUGUUUGCAUGCAUUGAAGAUGGGUUUCAAGGAAGGUUUGAGACCUUUCAUUGGAUUGGACGGGACAUUUCUCAAGGGAAAAGCUAAGGGUCAACUUUUGGUUAUUGUUGCACUUGACUCAAACAACCAUUUUUAUCCUAUAGCUUGGGUUGUAGUUGAAAAAGAGACUAAGAAAACAUGGGAUUGGUUCUUGGGAUUGCUGAAGAUGUCACUUGAACUAAACAUGGGAGAGGGAUACACUAUCAUUUCUGAUAUGCAAAAGGAGUUGCUUGAGGCAAUGAAAAUUGUCCUCCCUGAAGCUAACCAUAGGUUUUAUGUUAGACAAGUUGAGGCAAAUUGCAUGAAAAGGUGGAGAUCUGGUGAAAUGAAGAAGUUGUUGUGGUGGAGUGCAUGGUCCAUCUUUGAAGAGGAGUUUGAUGACCAACUAAGGAAGCUAGGGGAAAUGGAUGAAGAUGUUGUCAAAGACCUGAUCCAUUAUCCUCCCCAGUGCUGGUGUAGAGCUUUUUUUGAUACUGUUAGCAAAAAUAUGGCUGUGGAUAACAACUUUACAGAAUUGUUUAAUGCAUGGAUCUUAGAUGCAAGGUAAAAACCCAUAAUUAUAAUGCUAGAGGACGUUAGGUUGAAAGUAAUGAACAUGUUGAGGGAACAUGAUGAGAGGGUGAGGGCAUGGCCAGAAAACUUCAGUCCUCAUUGUAUGAUGCUUUAUGCUGAUUAUCUGAGAAUUGCCCAUUUUUGUGUGCUUUAUUUUAAUAGUGACUUUGGAUAUGAGAUUUUUUAAGGGAGUGAUAGACACACAGUGAACUUGGAGGCUAAGCAAUGUACUUGCAGGACAUGGCAGCUUUCUGGCAUACCAUGUCCUCAUGCUAUCAAAGCUUUGAUGUACAAGAGGAUUGACCCCUUCACUGAAAUUCAUUGGUGGUACAGCAAAGAAGCAGCCUUAAAAACUUAUUCAUAUAAGUUGCAAACUGUUAGGGGGGAAAAUUCUGGAAGGUAGAGCCUUCUCAUGCAAUGGAUCCACCACAAAUUGUCAAGCUAGCUGGCAGGCCUAAGGUGAAGAGGGAUAGAUCCAAGGAUGAAGCAAUCAAGAGAAAAGGAGCAUGGUCUGCUUCAAGGAAAGGCAGGGUUAUUGUAUGUAACAACUGUGGAGAAUCAAACCACAAUACAAAAGGGUGCAAAAAGGGAAAAAAAGCAACAGAAAAGGAAGAAGGUAGUUGUUGAUUAUGAAGAUAUUGAUAUGGACACACCAGUGGACAUACAACUAUCUGGACCAGAGCCAACUGAAGAAUCUAGCAAUCCAGCAACUCAGACAUUUGUCUUCAUGCCUACACCAACAGUGAGUGCACAUCAGCCCAGCAACAGUGAAUGUCCAGACUUUGAGUUUCCAGAAUUUGCAAAUGAAGAGGAGCCUAACUUGAGGCCUAAAGUUGUUUCAGAGGCAAGGACUAGGCUGCAGAAGAGAAAAGAGGCACAAAUGGUCAUUGGGACAAGAACUAUCAACUUAAGGGGUGAUGCAGCUGGUGUGAGUGAGCCAACAAAUUUAUCAUACUAACCAAGGGACUCAGAAUGGGGGGGGGGGGGUAUAAAGCUAUUACGCGCCACAAACUAAACAAAUUACUUGCUGAUGUAAUUAAUGGCUUAUGCCAAUAUAUUUGGCAGCAACUCUUUAGUGUUUUGGUAUGUUUGAAAGGAUGCCAUAGUAUAACUUAGGUGGUGAUUUGUUUUGUGGGUUAUAAUAUGGCAGCCGUUUGUUAUUUUUCAACUUGUAUGUUGACACUUAUUCAGGUAUGUGAAUUUAUGGUAAUCACCAUUUAGUAUGCCGAAUUGUCUUUGUCCAUUUAUAAC